UACGUAGGGCGCAAGCGUUGUCCGGAAUUAUUGGGCGUAAAGAGCUCGUAGGCGGCCAGUUGCGUCCGCUGUGAAAUCCCGGGGCUUAACCCCGGGCGUGCAGUGGAUACGGGCUGGCUAGAGGCAGGCAGGGGAGAACGGAAUUCCCGGUGUAGCGGUGAAAUGCGCAGAUAUCGGGAGGAACACCGGUGGCGAAGGCGGUUCUCUGGGCCUUACCUGACGCUGAGGAGCGAAAGCGUGGGGAGCGAACAGG
rnacentral:rRNA from 1 species